CAGCCCGCGUUGGGAGAACUGGUCACCAGUGCCGAAGGAGCAACCGCCCCGGUAAACUCUCAGGCAAAUGGACCUUCGCGGCACC
rnacentral:ncRNA from 1 species